rnacentral:rRNA from 1 species
UAUUGGACAAUGGGGGAAACCCUGAUCCAGCCAUGCCGCGUGUGUGAAGAAGGCCUUAGGGUUGUAAAGCACUUUCAGUGGGGAGAAAGGCUUGUUGAUUAAUACUCGACGAGAUUGAUGUUACCCACAGAAGAAGCACCGGCUAACUCCGUGCCAGCAGCCGCGGUAAUACGGAGGGUGCAAGCGUUAAUCGGAAUUACUGGGCGUAAAGCGCACGUAGGCGGUGAGUUUAGCCAGCUGUGAAAUCCCCGGGCUCAACCUGGGAAUUGCAGUUGGAACUGGCUCGCUAGAGUAUGGUAGAGGGGUGUGGAAUUUCAGGUGUAGCGGUGAAAUGCGUAGAUAUCUGAAGGAACAUCAGUGGCGAAGGCGACACCCUGGAUCAAUACUGACGCUGAGGUGCGAAAGCGUGGGGAGCAAACAGG